rnacentral:tRNA from 1 species
GCACCGGUGGUCUAGUGGUAGGACAUGAGCUUCCCAAGCUCAUAGCCCGGGUUCAAUUCCCGGCCGGUGCAC